UAUGGGUUUGAUGUUGCAAGUUGCCGUUAAAGGUGGCUGCCAUUUAUUAGUGAAGGUAUGUGUUAGACGCCCAUUGUGUAGUCGUGUUUAAAUGUGAUUCACUCAAAAUAUGUGUAUAAAAAUCUGAAAGUGACAUUUUGAUUGCAGUUUACAUCAAAAUUGUGAAGCUUUUAGUGUUUUUUUGUUAUACGUGUGGAAUCUGUAAUUAUUUAUUACAACAAUACAAUAUCCAGAUUGUUGACCCUAAAAGUGGAUAUAGAUAACUAUCUAAUGCACAUUUCGGAAGUGUAGUGUAAAUUGGAGAAACAGAUAACAGUAAUAUAUGUUUACGAGAAAGUUUAUUUCUUGUUUCAGAGAGUACUUAGGGUGGCAGAGAUCACGAGGAUCGGUAUGGCACUCUGAUGCACAAUACUGCGAUGUGGAAGGCAACGGGAAAGCACCACAUUAUGAUUCCGAGUAAAAUGUAAUACACUCGCGAUCUCAGAACUUUGCUACGCGACCCUAUUUGGGGUCGCGACCCAUAGUUUAAGAAGGCCUGUACUACAUGAUCCCAAGUAAAACGUUCAACUACUGAAAUUAAAUGAUGGCGUCCUCUAGGGUAAAGCACUCCGGACGUAAACUAGUCCCCCAU